CUUCCACAUGCUCGAUCUGCUGUAGUCGACAACUGCGCUCGGAUCAUACUGGCACACAAUGUCCAUGCACCAGAUGGCUUGAGGGAUGCUCUCCUGUUGGGCUGGAAAACAAAGAGGUAACAAAAAGAGUGGGCGUGCAGCAGACAAACCCAGUGAAAAGCAGGCUGCUUAUGCACCCACAUCAAAAAACGCUCAAGACCUCACUGCAGCCCUUUCAUAUUACAUUGCAAAGGACAUGAUGCCAUUGCAAAUUGUUGAGAGGCCAGGCUUUCUGAGGCUGAUGAAGGUUGCCGUGCCUCACUACAAAACUACAAAGGGAAACCCAGACACGAGCUGGCCAGUGACGC